rnacentral:sRNA from 1 species
GAAAAUGAAAUCAAACGCAGUAUUUCUGAAAUUGAACAGAGCAUUGAUGAUUUGAAGAAAUUACUGAACUCCAAUGAUGUCAGCCUUAUCACUGCCUACAAAUCUAAGAAUGCUGAAUUCAGAAGAUUGCCGCCUAAACUCACAGUUUCCUUACCAAGAUUUACCCCUCCGAAGAUUAACAAAGAACAUGUUUAUCAGCAGAUAGGCUCUCUGUCAGCGUUAUCGAUCAAGACAGAAGAACAUGGCUACACAAUGGAUUCUCCUGGUGCGGAGUCCCCUCCCCAGGACAGAUCGCUCAUUGCUAUACCACAAAUCAUCACAGAAAUAAACACAGAGUAUGGAGAAUCUAAUAAAUUAUACAGUGUGUCCUGUCUGAGUGAUGAUAAAGUAUGGACAAAUGGCCAGGACAACAUGAUGAAACUCUAUAACCUCCAUGGUAAACUAGUGAAGUCAAUCCAAACCAAGUCGGGGAAGAGACCAUGGGACAUAUCAGUGACCCAGAGUGGUGAACUAGUUUAUACUGAUGCUAAUGAUAGAACUGUGAACAUAGUGAUGAAUACACAGAUACAGACUGUGAUCAGACCAUGGGGGUGGAGGCCUAUUUAUGUCUGCUGUACCUCCACUGGUGACCUCCUGGUUGUCAUGAUCACUGAUGAUAGAAAACAAGCAAAAGUCAUGCGUUACUCUGGCUCCACAGAGAAACAAACGAUUCAAUACAAUGACAAAGGACAACCUCUUAUUCAUCUGAACUUAAUGCUAAAUGCAUCACCGAGAAUAAGAACCUAGAUAUCUGUGUAGCUGACUCUGAAGCAGGUGCGGUAGUGGUGGUCAAUCAGGCCGGAAAACACCGGUUUACCUUCACUGGUCCUCCCUCUACUACCAAGGAAUCAUUUAUUCCAGCCGGCAUCACUACAGACUGCCAGAGUCGGAUCCUGACAACAGACCAUAGAAACCACCUUAUCCACAUCCUGGAUCAAGACGGACAGUUUAUCCGCUACAUUGACAACUGUCAUUUACAGUAUCCAACAGGUUUAUGUGUGGACACCAGAGACAACCUCUUUGUGGCUGAAUUUAAAUCUAGUAACUUGAAGAAAAUCCAAUACAGUAUGUAAACAAACUGUAAUCAUAAUAGCGCAUGACAUUGUGUAAUUUUGUGUACAUUUACAAAGCAAAUAUCAAAUAUCAAAGUAAAAUAUUUACAUUUG